CCCCUCUCAGGGUCGCAUCUGGAGAGUUUUCAGUUCUCAACCAGUCUCGGCUAUGGGAGGGAGAGCCAAGUAGAGGCAUACUCAUUCCAUUCCUAGCUUGGCCAGAGUGGUUAGCGAUUGGAAGGCAAUCUGCUACAAGU